GACGAACGCUGGCGGCGUGCUUAACACAUGCAAGUCGAACGGUAAGGCCCUGCUUUUGUUGGGUGCUCGAGUGGCGAACGGGUGUGUAUCACGCGAGUAACCCGUCCUUGACUUUGGGAUAACUUCAGGAAACUGGGGCUAAUACCCGAUAGGUGCUCCUGCCGCAUGGUGGGGGUUGGUAAGUUUCGGUGUUCUGGGAUGGACUCGCGGCUGAGCGGCUUGGUGGUGGGGUAGUGGCUUGCCCUGGCUUGGCCGGGUAGCCGGCCUGAGAGGGUGACCGGGCACAUUGGCACUGAGAUACGGGGCAGACUGCUACGGGGGGCAGUGGUGGGGAAUAGUGCACAAUGGGCGGAAGCCUGGUGCGGCAACGCCGCGUGCGGGAUGAGGGACUUUGGGUUGUAAACCGCUUUGGCCUGUGACGAAGCGGUAGUGACGGUAAUGGGUAAAGAAGCACCGGCUAACUACGUG
rnacentral:rRNA from 1 species